rnacentral:rRNA from 1 species
UACAGAGGGUGCAAGCGUUAAUCGGAUUUACUGGGCGUAAAGCGUGCGUAGGCGGUUCGCUAAGUCGGUUGUGAAAUCCCUGGGCUUAACCUGGGAACUGCAGUCGAUACUGGCGGACUAGAGUACGGUAGAGGGUGGCGGAACUCCGGGUGUAGCGGUGAAAUGCGCAGAGAUCGGGAGGAACACCAAUGGCGAAAGCAGGUAACUGGACUAUUACUGACACUCAGCUGCGAAAGCUAGGGGAGCAAACAGG